UGGGGGAUAUUGCACAAUGGGCGAAAGCCUGAUGCAGCGACGCCGCGUGGGGGAUGAAGGCCUUCGGGUUGUAAACUUCUUUUGCUCUGAACAAGGCGCACCAUGGGGUGUGUUGAGUGUAGGGGUUGAUUAGCGCCGGCUAACUACGUGCCAGCAGCCGCGGUAAUACGUAGGGCGCGAGCGUUGUCCGGAAUUAUUGGGCGUAAAGGGCUUGUAGGUGGCUGGUUGCGUCUGUCGUGAAAGCUCAUGGCUUAACUGUGGGUUUGCGGUGGGUACGGGCUGGCUUGAGUGCAGUAGGAGAGGCUGGAAUUCCUGGUGUAGCGGUGGAAUGCGCAGAUAUCAGGAGGAAUACCGGUGGCGAAGGCGGGUCUCUGGGCUGUUACUGACACUGAGGAGCGAAAGCAUGGGGAGCGAACAGG
rnacentral:rRNA from 1 species